GAGAGAGGCAUGAAGCAUUAAGAACUGCUAAUUCCUUAAUUCCAAAGUUAAAAUCCUUGGCUCCCUCA
rnacentral:tRNA from 1 species